CAACAGGGAUUACCUCAGUAACGGCGAGUGAAGCGGUAACAGCUCAAAUUUGAAAGCUAGCUCUUUUAGGGUUCGCAUUGUAAUUUGUAGAAGAUGCUUCGGGUGUGGCCCCGGUCUAAGUUCCUUGGAACAGGACGUCAUAGAGGGUGAGAAUCCCGUAUGUGACUGGGUGCUUUCGCUCAUGUGAAGCUCUUUCGACGAGUCGAGUUGUUUGGGAAUGCAGCUCAAAAUGGGUGGUAAAUUUCAUCUAAAGCUAAAUAUUGGCCAGAGACCGAUAGCGCACAAGUAGAGUGAUCGAAAGAUGAAAAGCACUUUGGAAAGAGAGUUAAACAGUACGUGAAAUUGUUGAAAGGGAAGCGCUUGCAACCAGACUUGCGCGCUGAUGAUCAUCCGGGCUUCUGCCCGGUGCACUCGUCUGCGCUCAGGCCAGCAUCGGUUUCGGUGGUGGGAUAAAGGCCUUGGGAAUGUAGCUUCUUUCGGGGAGUGUUAUAGCCCUCGGUGCAAUGCCGCCUACCGGGACCGAGGACCGCGCUUCGGCUAGGAUGCUGGCGUAAUGGUUGUAAGCGACCCGUCUUGAAACACGGACCAAGGAGUCUAACAUCUAUGCGAGUGUUUGGGUGUCAAACCCAUACGCGUAAUGAAAGUGAACGGAGGUGAGAACCCUUAAGGGUGCAUCAUCGACCGAUCCUGAUGUCUUCGGAUGGAUUUGAGUAAGAGCAUAGCUGUUGGGACCCGAAAGAUGGUGAACUAUGCGUGAAUAGGGUGAAGCCAGAGGAAACUCUGGUGGAGGCUCGCAGCGGUUCUGACGUGCAAAUCGAUCGUCAAAUUUGCGUAUA
rnacentral:rRNA from 1 species